CGCCGCGUGGAGGAUGAAGUAUCUCGGUACGUAAACUACCUUUCGUAUGGGGAAGGAUGAUGACGGUACCCACUAGAAGAAGCCCCGGCUAACUUCGUGC
rnacentral:rRNA from 1 species